CAGGAGGAGACUGCUGAUUGGUCUUCUGGCAUCACGUCUGCAGGAAGUCACUGCUCAUUGGUUGUAGUGGCUUGAAGACAUGACUUAAGUCGCAGCAUAUUGGGCGGUGGUCACCAUGGCUACAGGAGGAGAGAAAGCUGAUUGGCCAGUGGCAGAAGCAGCUCAGGAGGAGACUGCUGAUUGGUCUGCUGUCAUCACGGCUACAGGAAGUCACUACUCAUUGGUUGCCGUGGCUUGAAGACAUGACUCGAAAACAGGAGGAGACUUCUGCCCAUUGGUCAGUGCACAUCGUGGCUACAGGAAGUGACUGCCGAUUGGUCGACUGAAAGAGGACGAAAGUGCUAUGUGGGGGGACUUCUGGUGUGCUGCUGUUACCUGUGUUACCAUGGUAGUGUUGUGGAGAUCCUGGAUCCAUGUGAUGUCAUGUGAAUGCUCCUUUAGGAGACCUGUGACGAAGAAUCGUGCAAGAGAGAAAGAUAUCCCAAACUCUGCCCAUCCAAUGCAAUGGAGUUUGCUCACAUUCUGUCUCCUAAGGGGGCGUUGUCCCCUCUGAGGCUGUCCUCAUGUUUUAGCGUAUGUAUUGCAUGCUAGUGCAUUUGGCGCGUUGGUGCGACGCCUUUUGAAGUUAACACGUGCUCCUCAGGAGCAACGGUAAAGCGUUUUCAUGCACUUUUGGCACCUGACGAGGUUUGCACAGUUUUCCCGCCGUGUCUGCGAUUUUCUUUUGCCACAGGGCAUUUCUGUUGCUAAACGCAAAUAUGCUUUACUGUGCCCUAACCAAAACCAUUCCUAAAACUAACCUGUCAGUAAAGUCAUGUUUCUGCUGUUUUACUAUUGCCGAGAACAGCAACAUUUGGCAAAUUUCUAGCUAAAUUGUGCCUAAACCAAAACCAUCCCCAAAUCGAACCCGUCGUGGAGCACGCCUUAACUUGCAAAGGCAUGUUGGACACACGCGAUAGUGUUGCUUUUUGUGGCGUUUGCACAAGUGCGCUACCGCCAUCUACAGCACUAAGGGAACUCAACCGACACCACAUGGAUACCGGAAAGGAACGAGACUGAAGUAUCUUUCUCUCUUAUACGAUUCUUUGCCUGCAGUUAGGAGACCUUUGGAGGCUUUAGGUUGAGAAUAAAUUGGCACUGUAGAUGGUAGCAGCGCACAUCUUCUGCAAGCCAAAUGCCACAGAAAGAGAAGAAUGGGACAGCGCCCCCUUAGGAGACCGAACCUCAGCACGCUCCUUUGCAUUGGGUGAGCCUUUGGUAGCCUAGACGCAGGACUCGAGACUGAAGUUUUGUUGCCUACAACUGAACUGUAAACAUUAUGAUCAGUUGAACUCUUAUUGUCAGCAAGUGUGAUGUUCAGUUGAACCCUUGACUGAACUUCACCGCUGUUUUGCCGGCUAUAUAUCACUACUGUACACUGUAUAUGCAUUGACUUCAAUGCUGAAGUGUAAACUUCACUACUGUAUUAUUAUGUAUGUGUAGUGCAAGUCAUUUGCUGGAUCUCAAAAGGCACACUUGUGCACUUCGGCACUAUGUUUCAGUGCGUAACUAAUACGCCAUACACACUGAAACAUGAACACUGAAGUGCACAAGUGCAUCAUGUGAGAUCCAGCAAUUGUUUGUGUUUUUCGACAAAAGGUCCAUUCUCAGAGACUCGUCACAUCCAGGACACAAUCUGUUUGUUUUUACUGCUGCCAUCUGGCAGUAGAUACAGGUCCUUGAAAACCAGGAAAAAUAGACUGAAAAACAGCUUUUACCCAGCGGCUAUUACUGCACUAAAUUAUCUUAAACUGUCUUAUACAUACUUUUCUAACUUUUUUUAUAUGCACAAUUUUAUUGCUUAAACAAGGAAAGCUCAAUUUCGUUCUCGUUACAAUGACAAAUGAGGCGUUCUAUGCUGUUGUACAUGCAUGUGCUUCAUGCAGUGUGUAUGCGUAGCUGUGUACUACCCCAAUUUAAGUCUUCAAUACAUGGCAUAAUGACGUACUCAUGACAUUACUACCAUUAUUAACUUAACUGUUGUUCACUGUACACUUCUGAACCAUUGUGUUAAAUAAAAUGGGAUUGUUGCUUCAGAAACAUGCUCGUUUUUGCUCG